UGUUUAUCAAAAACAUGGCUUCCUGUUGUUUGAGGAAAGGAGGUCUGGCCUGCCCGGUGGGGGGAACCCUAAACGGUCGCAGCUGCCACUGUGCGAAGGUAGCGUAAUAGGUCGUCCUUUAAUUGAGGGAAAGUAUGAAUGGUCGGAUGUUGGAAAGACUUUAUUAGAAGCACAGGCUAAAUUUUACUUCUUAGUGCAAAGGCUAGGAUAAAAUUAUUAGACGAGAAGACCCUGUUGAGCUUGGUAAACUUUUUCUCAAUUUGGGUUAAGGUUAUAUUUUUUCGGGGCUGAAAGGAAGGGAAAUGGACGCCUUCUAUUAUAGUGUGUAGAUCCAGUAUGAUUGAUAAGUGGAAGAUAGCUACCACAGGGAUAACAGCGCAAUCUUCUUGAUAAGGCCAAAUUUAAGAGAUGGUUUGCGACCUCGAUGUUGAAUCAGGAUUUCUACUAGGUGUAGCAGCUUAGUAAGUGGGACUGUUCGUCCUUUAAAAUUCUACGUGAUCUGAGUUCAGACCG
rnacentral:rRNA from 1 species